AUGCUUUUUGUGUUUUCCUUUUGAGCCGGGUGUUUCAAGUGAACUCAUUCCUUCUGGGUUAAAUGCAGCCAGCGAGUUUGACGGUGGAUUUUGAUGGUGAAUGUGACGAAGGAGAGAAAGAUGACAACUGUAAUAAAUCCAUCAGUAACCAGAA